rnacentral:misc_RNA from 1 species
UCUCUGGUAGCUGAGUCAUCAAAAGAGACUUGCUUUUUCUUUGAGAAAGAAGGCAAUGGGAGCGAGCUCGGUGCUGGAGAUACUGCAAAAGCUGAGCCAGCGUACACAUCGCACUUCCUGGUCACCGGAGACCCGAGGUCAACGUUUCGCAUCUGCUUUGCUACCAUUUUUGGGUCGGGGCCCAACCGAUCCAUACCGGUGACCACCAUAUAACCGGCCUGAUACUGAUCCUUCUUCGACGCCGCCGCCGUUUCACUGUUCUGGAUCUUAGAAUCGAACGACUCUCCUCGUCGC